UCAUUUGGGACGGAGAAAAAAACAGAGAACCAAGAGUGAGAUAGAAGAGAAGAAGAAAAGAAAGGGAAAGAAGGGGAAAUCAAAAUAUAAGAGGUGAGUUUUUGAUUUGAUAAUUAGUUUACUUUCUGAUUAUUAGUUUGAUUUAAUCAGUAUUUUGGCUAGUAUCAAUUGAAAUCAUAAGUAGGUGUAAAAUUGAUUAACUAUUGUGUAUGAAAUAAGCAUAUAUAUAUAUAUAUAUAUAUAUAUAUAUAUAUAUGCGACUGUGUGAUACAAGGUUGGAAAUUAAAAACGAAAACAAGAACUGAAGCUUCCUGCUGUGUUAAUGGUUGUCCAAAGCUGGAAAUUAUCCAGUGUAGCCACGCUCAUAAAGUUAUCGUGUACCCUAGUUAAAAAUUGGCCAAUCGAAUGAGUUUUGGGUCGUGUGAAUAAUCAUUUUCUAUGUUUUUCAGUGUUUUGGAUCUGAUUAUAGGGUCAAUUUAGCCUAAUUCAAAAGUUAAAAUGACGUGUUAUAUAAAGUAGUAAUCGGCGGUUAUAAUUAGCGUAUUUGGUAACAAUCGACGGUGGAAACUUGUCCAAUCGCCUUAAAAUUUAAAUAGGAUGUAACUAUUACCAUUUAGUGAGAAUCCAUAGGAUUGAAUUAUAAAUUUAUGGAUUUGAGUUGUAUACAUUGUACUUGUGCACUGAUAAUUUGUGAUUAACAGGAAUUAAGGAAGGAGAAGGGCCUUUAAGGCAAACUUAGGCGUGACUGGACUGCGGUGUGAGUGCGGUGACAGGUAAAAAAUAAAAUAUAUGAUAAUUUUGUUCAUAUUGAAUUGUUUAUAUUUCAUAUGAUGAGAGGUGAGAAUUAUAUACAUGAGGUGAUUAUAUGAUUUUGAAUGAGGUGAUGUAGUAAUGCAUAUCAUUUAUCUUGUGUUUUUGCAUUACACUGGAGGAAGGCUUAGUCAUGAGGGACUUUGCCUAGGGAUGUGACCGGUAAGGGCAUUCCUGAGGGAUGUGUCAGUAGGGGCAUUCCUUAAUAACGAGCCAACAAAUAUUGGGCCAACGUUAUCUAAACUUUCGCGCACAUUUGAGUGAUACAUUAUUGCAUAGACAUUCUUUAUUGCUGAAUUUCUAUAAUGAAUGGCUUAUCUGUAUCAUUGUUUAUGAGUUUGAUUAUCUAUUGUGAGUAUGUUGAUUAUUAGCUCACACCCACACAUACCUUUUUGAUAAGUGAGGUGAUAUAGUUAGUUGUAUGGUUCACUGUGGUUGCGAUCUUAGACGUGGUGAUCUUCCUGGUCGAGAUUGGAGUCUUAAGCAGGACUCGGGGUAGUUCUCGCUUUUGUACACUUUUGAUUUGUCUUGAGUUGGAUUGUACAUUUGUCCUAUGUUUAAAGAGAGUAUGUUUGUAUUUAGUCUAAAUGUGUGUAUGUAUGACUAUCUUGUGGUUUGAGGAUUUGAGUUUAAUUAUCAAUGUAUAUGAAUAAUGACUGGAUACUUUAUGUCAUAUUUGGUUUUGGGAUAUUGUGGUGGAUAAUAGGUGUCGUUCGCA
rnacentral:lncRNA from 1 species